rnacentral:tRNA from 1 species
GAACAGAUAGCUUAACUAAAGCAUUUUCCUAUAAGAUUAUAAGAUAUGGGUUAAACUCCCAUUCUGUUCACCA